CAUCUCCUGGGCCACCUGUGGCUAUCACAGCCAAAUAGGUACUGCUGGACCAAGAGGUGGUGGUCCUGGGUGGCAAGGGCAUCAGCGUUUCUGGCAAUUUCUACAGAAACAAGUGAAAGUGCCUGCCCUUCCCCUGCAAGUGGAUGAACGCCAACCUAUCCUGCGCCCCCUACCACUUCCAGGCCCCCAGCCACAUCUUUAGGCAGACUGUGUGGGGCAUGCUGCCCCGAAGACUAAGUGAGCAGGCUGCCCUGACCACCUCCAAGUAUCUGGUGGGAUCCCACCACCCUAUGACAAGAAAAAGCAGAGGGUGGUUCCCGCUGCCAUUAAGACUGUGUUUCACGCCUCUGAGAAAGUCUGCCCACCUGGGGCGCCUGGCUCACAAGGUUGCCUGGAAGUACCAGGUGGUGACAGCCACCCUGGAGAAGAGGAAGAAGGUCAAAAUCCACUACCAGAAGAAGAAACAGCUCAUGAGCCUACAGAAACAGGCUAAGGGCAGGCAUGGUGGCUCAUGCCUGUAAUCCCCGCACUUUGGGAGGUUGAGGUGGGCGGAUCACUU
rnacentral:lncRNA from 1 species